AUGUAUCAGGUUGGUACGUUUUUUAGUAUUGGUGAUAAUUCCUAAAUCUCCUAAAAGCCAGUUUUUAAAAUGACAUAUAGGCCGGGCGCGGUGGCUCACGCCUGUAAUCCCAGUACUUUGGGAGGUGGGCGAUCACUUGAGGUCAGGAGUUCGAGACCAGCCUGGCCAACAAAGUGAAACCCUGUCUCUACUAAAAAUACAAAAAAAAGUAGCCAGCCAUGGUGGCAUGUGCCUGUAGUCCCAGCUACUCGGGAGGCUGAGGCAGGAGAAUUGAUUGAACCUGGGAGGCAGAGGUUGUGGUGAGCCAAGAUCGCGCCACUGCACUCCAGCCUGGGCAACAGAACAAGACUCCAUCUCAAAAAAUAAAUAAAUAAAUAAAUAAAUAAAUAUAAAAUAAAAUGACAUAUACAAUUAAACAGGGAAUAAAAUUAUGCUGACAAUAAAUAACAUCCAGGGAUCUAGUUCUGAAGACAUAUCCAGAGAGCAUGGCAUGAAAAAUAAUGACUAAGUCUGGAGGUAAGGUUAGGUAGGGUAAUGUGCUGACAGGGAAGUUGAUGUGGGGAGAUUAUCCCGGAUUGUUUGGGUGGGCCCAAUUAAUCACAGUGUCCUUAGAAGAGGGACCCAGGGGGAGCCAUUUAGAGGAGAAGCCGAUGUGAUGACUGAAACAGAUUGGACUGAUGCAUUUUAAAGAUGGAGUAAGGAGCCAUAAGCCAAGGAAUAUGGGCAGCCACUGUAAAUUGAAAAAGGCAAGGAAACAAAUUAUCUCCUCAAAGCCUCCAUAUGGAACCAGCUCUGCCUACUGUCACUGCUUUAGCUCAGUGAAACUGAUUUCAGACUUCCAACUCCAGAUCUGUAAGAAAGUAAACUGGUGUUCUUUUAAACCACCACAUUUACGGUAAUGCUUUACAAUAUCCAUAGGAAAUUAAUACAUCUGCUUUGUAUAGAUAGCAAAUAUGUACAGCAGGAGAUGCAGAUCCUAGUGAUGAACAUGCAUAUUCUGAACUUCUCUUAUUCAUCAUACUUUCUAAUUUGGAGUAUUUAAUUCCAAAUACUCCAAAUUAGAAAGUAUGAUGAAUAAGAGCAUAUAGAGGAGUCGUGUGACUUAAGUGUUAUUUAAGGAAGCUUGAGUUGCAACAAUGUGUAAGAUGAAUUGGGUGGAUGGAGAUUGGAAUCAGAGAGGCUAAAAAGGAGGCUAUUAUCAUCCAUCUCAGAGAGACAAGGACUUAUCAAAAGAGGAUAGAAGUUGGACUGAAGAUUUAGAGAUGGGUACCAGGGACAUUUCAAGAAAAAAGAAAAAAACAAGGCUUUGAAGACUAACUAAUGAUCAGAGAGAUGAAGAGUAUGAAGUCAAUGAUGACGCAAAAGCAUGAAUAAGUAACGUGUUCAUUAAGCAAGAAAUAAGAGGGUAAAAACGUUUUCUGUUAGGUUUUCACCUGUCAAAAAUGACUGAACAAGUUAAAGUGAUUGUAUUCUUUUAAAGGUGAAAAGUCAAUCAGUGCUUUUUAGAGAAUGUUAAUUCCAAAUCUCUGACUUUAGAAAGGCUGGUUUGUCAUAUCCUCCUAGUCCUUGAGGACCAAAAUAUGUCCAGGUGCUUGAUUGCCAUGUCUUAAACAAGCAGCCCUCUUAUUCACUGGCAGUAAGAGAGAUGUUUAUUAGCAUCCUUUUGAGUUGUUGAUGAAUUUACUUAUUGGCUGACCUCUCCUUUGUUACAGUCUGAAAUUUUAUAUUUAAACUUUUAAAGGAUAUAAAGCUCUCUAUUUGCAAAACAACCAUCAGGUGUUUUUCUUCUAUUUAAAGCUGAAGUUCUUAAACCAAAAAUACCAUUCUGAAUCCCAAAUGUGUCUUCUAUCAAACAUCCUCAAGGUUCUUAAAAUGAUGUAAAAAUACAUCUUUUUGUUUUUGAGCCAACUCUGGACUCAAUGUCCUCCGAGACAACCUUUAGAAGUAUAAAGGUGGAGUCAGGCUGCUUUUACAACUUGGUUGAUUCUAUUUAUUGAACAUUUGCUGUGUGAAUGUUCCCCUGACCUUGGGUAUCAUUAUCUAUCUGUGAUAGAUAACCUAUAUCACAGAUAGAUAGAUCUAUCUGUGACAGAUAACCUAUAUCACAGAUAGAUCUAUCUGUGACCUCGGGGAUCAUCAUCUGUUAAAGCUUUCAUUCAUUAUAAAGGGAUCAUUGAGGGACUAGUGUGGGGCUCCCACGGGGAUUUUCAGCUCACGGAGAUCCUUUAUUUAUGGGGCUCAAUAUGGCAUUGUUUUUGUUUUACAUUUCCUUCUGAGACAGAGAGAACUCACAUAAAGCCUAAAUCUGGCUCUUGCAGGAAGUUUUGGCUCUGUAAAGCAGAGCUUCCAUUUUGAAUGAGGUUAUCUUUAUGAAGCACAGUAUUAUGGUUGAACUCUUUUUCAUUC
rnacentral:lncRNA from 1 species